UUUUUAUUGAUAUCCCAUUGAGGUAUUUACUGAGGUUAAACAAGCUACUCUGAGCAUCUGUUCUUUUUCAAUAACCAGUAACAGAACAAGGUUGUGCAGGGAGAACAAUUACAAAAAAGCCAUUCCUCAAGCAGGAACGCUUCAAAUGCAGAGUCGAUAGGAGUCCCACAGAGUCAAAAGGAGGCCCCAGGAGGCCUGACAUGACCAGCAAGCUAGGUGAGAUGACAUGCCACCUGGAAUUGCAGCAUAAGGCAGACCUCCAUGGAUAAGGAAGAGGCAAUAGAGUACAAUUAGGAAAGGAGGGAUGAAGAGAGGAAGUGCCA